CCCACACCCGCGCCAGAGGAGCUAAGGCCACGGUGGCGGCUUUGUGUUUUCAUGUUUCCCACAAAAAGGAGUUAAAAGUAUGACAUUGCUUUUAGAACAUACAUUUAUUUCUGCAAACAUUCCAAAGCUCAACCAACAUGAAACAUACUCCCUAAUCAUUGGCCGCUUCCUAGUUUUCUCUUUUCCCAGCCCAAGACAUAUGGUUUUGAUAUCAUAGCAAACAGCAAUUGAUUCUAAUUCUAGUUAAUUCAAAAACAACUCUAAUAGCCUAGUCACUGUUCAAACAAGGAAAGGCUGGGUGCAUUCGCCUCCUUAUGUCACCAUCUGAGUAUGGUCAUCAGAGCUAAACGUCUCACAGCCCCCCAGCCCCAUAUAUGUAAUUUCUUCUUUUUUGAUAUUUCAUCAUCUCAGCUCAUAAAAGAGAGAACGAUGUAAUGCCUAAUAAAUGCCAAAGAACCUUUUCGAGAAGUGACACCAAACAUGGGCAGAAUGCCUAAGCUAAGUUUGCUCAGGCAAAUAUUCAGAUAUCUGUCGUCAUCCACCUUGUCAUCUGAGAUGCUGGUUCAUCAGCAGGUUUUGGAGAGGUUUUGAUCUAUCUGAUUCCAAAGCACUGUGGUUUGAGCCCACCCAUGAUGCACAUGCUAGAGUCUCUGUACCACUGGGGAACAGGGGAGAUGGUAAAGAGUUCAUCACAGUUCUCUGAACAUGCUUCAGCCCUUCUACAUGAACAUAGCAUCGCUGAUCCUUGUUCUACGGACCACCUGCUAUGAACUGUUUGUCCAGCCCGUGGUCUUCACUAUUCUGCAGCCAGUUUUGAACUCUGGGGGGAAGAGAAAACGUCCCCACUGAAAGACAGCCAUGAUGAAGCAGAAGAGUGGUGAUGGUGAUAGCAAGAAAUGACAGGAGUGAUAGCGAGCACCACAAAGCAUGAUGUCAAUGCAGAAACCGGGAAGCAUGCAGUGAGAGACAGGGCAACGUGGCAAAGAAGGAGGCUGGGAAAUGACUCUAACGGCCCCUCGACAGUUUAUUUGAAUGGAUGAACAUUGAGGACGUUAUGCUAAGUGAAAUAAGCCAGCCACGAAAAGACAAAGACUAUAUGAUUCCACUUACAGGAGGUACUUAGAGUAGUCCAAUUCCUAGAAAUAAAAGGCAGAAUGGUGGUUGCCA
rnacentral:lncRNA from 1 species